GUUCUAACAUGCGUAAAAAAAUGCAUUAUCAUUAGUAAUUACUAUACCGCGACGGCAACUUCGAUUCACCUGAAAAGAUGGCCGAUCCUCCUCCCCACCGACCUCCCCUGCUCCCCAAACCCUAGCGUCCGGCCCCCACUCCUGCGAGGCCCCCUUCGGCAACGGCUUCACUCGCCACCUCGACCUCCUCUCCGCCGUCGACGGCGGAGGAGGAGGCCGCGGGGGAGCAUGGUUCCGGUGCUUCACGCUUGAGAGCUCCAUCUGCGAGGGGAGGGCUGCCGAAGAUGUGGCCGGAGAGGAUCAGGAUGGCGGUGGGAGGGGAAAGGUGGGACGGCGUGAUGGGGAGGAGCGAAGAGGAGGAGGAGAUGCUGGUGUUGGAGGACGGCGCGUUCCAGAUCGCCGAGGGCGGGGGUGGCCGCAAGUUCUAGUUGUUGUUGGAAAAAAUUAUGUGGACCAGGGUAAGCGGCAUCCGGUUCGUAAUUUGAUCGGGUCGAUUCGUGUCGUCAAACCAGGAGAGUCGCGGCGCGAUCAGAUUCUGGGAAAGAUGGGAAACUCACAGAUUGGAAAGAUCUAGAUUCCAGGUAAAUUCAGUUGGACUGGUGGUCUUCUGUGGUAGCUCUUUCCAUUCAUAAUUGAUCAUGGCUGCGCAGAACCAAUGGUUGUUGCAACGCUUGAGAUUCUGGCUAAACUGAAAUUGCAAUUGGCUGAUUAUGUAUUUCUUAGAUUCUGGGAAGGAUGAGAACAAAAGUUUUGAGGAUCUAGAGUCUAGACUGAUCUGGUUGGACAGGUGGUUUUUUUCCUGCUAGCUGAUUAUCUAUCGUUUUAUGUGGAAUAUUUCUACUCCUCUCUGUUUUCUCUUCUCUUCAUUCCAUUUUAUCUCUCUCUUAAUGUUAUCUCUCAUGAAGCUGCAGUGGAUCAAGGAGCCAAUAAUUCUUAUCACCUGCUUUGAAUAUUCGAACUUUUUACAUGGUUACUGAUUGGUACAAUGCAUACAUUUCCUCCACGGUCACUGAUUUACCGUAUCGACCUCAUGUUGUCUUUGUAGACGGCCAUUGCACGGUAUGAGAAGGAUGCUUUGAUCUACAAAUUCAUGUUCUGGUGCUUGUGAUUUCUGCGUGUGUGGAAUAGUCUUGGGGGAGUAUGAAAUCAUUUGUUCUCUUCCUGUUUAUAGCAUAAUGGGUGCAUACUACACCGUUUUUAGGUGGUACCACAGAUUUUAGAUAAAGUGGAAAUUGGAUCUAUAUGUGACAUCAUGCUGUUACAACAUGGAGUAUCCUGAAGCACAGUAAAUCAGCUUCGGUACAAAUGGAAAGAACCUUUGUUCUCUUUGUUUAGGGAUUGUAGUGGGAUUAGAGCAAAGAAUUUUGGACGUGUGUUUCUUUCGACAGUUAGUUGUUGAUAGAGGAUAUAGAUUGAUCAAAGUUACCAGAAUUAUCUUCAGUCAAAAAUCUGUAAUAACUUUUUGAGUUUAGAGAGAAUAAUUAUUAGCAAGGAAACUCAGUCUCUCUUACCAUCAUUAUUCUUUCACAGUGUAACAUUUGUAUCCCAUUUUGAGGAGUAUGCUUGAUAUGCAUUUUGUGCAAGUUCAUUGAUA